UACGUAGGGGGCAAGCGUUGUCCGGAUUUAUUGGGCGUAAAGAGCGUGUAGGCGGCUUGGUAGGUCCGCUGUGAAAACUCGAGGCUCAACCUCGAGAUGUCGGCGGAAACCACUUGGCUAGAGUCCGGAAGAGGAGAGUGGAAUUCCUGGUGUAGCGGUGAAAUGCGCAGAUAUCGGGAGGAACACCAAUGGCGAAGGCAGCUCGCUGGGACGGUACUGACGCUGAGACGCGAAAGCGUGGGGAGCAAACAGG
rnacentral:rRNA from 1 species